GAUGAACGCUGGCGGCGUGCCUAAUACAUGCAAGUCGAACGCUUCACAUAUGUGAAGAGUGGCGAACGGGUGAGUAAUACAUAAGUAACCUGGCCUGUACAGGGGGAUAACUAUUGGAAACGAUAGCUAAGAACGCAUAGGUGUGCAGAUCGCAUGAAGUGCACAUGAAAUAUGCUACGGCAUAGGUAGAGGAUGGACUUAUGGCGCAUUAGCUAGUUGGAGGGGUAACGGCCCACGAAGGCGACGAUGCGUAGCCGACCUGAGAGGGUGACCGGCCACACUGGGACUGAGACACGGCCCAGACUCCUACGGGAGGAAGCAGUAGGGAAUUUUCGGCAAUGGGGGAAACCCUGACCGAGCAACGCCGCGUGAAGGAAGAAGUAAUUCGUUAUGUAAACGUCUGUCAUAGAGGAAGAACGGUGCGUGUAGGGAAUGACAUGCAAGUGACGGUACUCUAUAAGAAAGCCACGGCUAACUACGUGCCAGCCGCCGCGGUAA
rnacentral:rRNA from 1 species